UGGUGGAGCGAUUUGUCUGGUUAAUUCCGAUAACGAACGAGACUCUAGCCUAUUAAAUAGUUCGCCGAUUUUUCGAGUCGGCGUCAACUUCUUAGAGGGACAUGUGUCGUAUAGGCACGCGAGAUUGAGCAAUAACA
rnacentral:rRNA from 1 species